rnacentral:piRNA from 1 species
UGAAAAAAAGAUGAUUAAAAA